rnacentral:rRNA from 1 species
CACAAGCGGUGGAGCAUGUGGUUUAAUUUCGAAGCAACGCAAGAACCUUACCAGGCCUUGACAUGCAGAGAACUUUCCAGAGAUGGAUUGGUGCCUUCGGGAACUCUGACACAGGUGCUGCAUGGCUGCCGUCAGCUCGUGUCGUGAGAUGUUGGGUUAAGUCCCGUAACGAGCGCAACCCUUGUCCUUAGUUACCAGCACGUUAUGGUGGGCACUCUAAGGAGACUGCCGGUGACAAACCGGAGGAAGGUGGGGAUGACGUCAAGUCAUCAUGGCCCUUACGGCCUGGGCUACACACGUGCUACAAUGGUCGGUACAAAGGGUUGCCAAGCCGCGAGGUGGAGCUAAUCCCAUAAAACCGAUCGUAGUCCGGAUCGCAGUCUGCAACUCGACUGCGUGAAGUCGGAAUCGCUAGUAAUCGUGAAUCAGAAUGUCACGGUGAAUACGUUCCCGGGCCUU